rnacentral:rRNA from 1 species
UACAGAGGUCUCAAGCGUUGUUCGGAUUCAUUGGGCGUAAAGGGUGCGUAGGCGGCGCGGUAAGUCGGAUGUGAAAUCUCGGAGCUUAACUUCGAAACUGCAUUCGAUACUGCCGUGCUUGAGGACUGGAGAGGAGACUGGAAUUUACGGUGUAGCGGUGAAAUGCGUAGAUAUUGGGAGGAACACCGGUGGCGAAGGCGGCCCCCUGGACCGGUACUGACGCUGAGGCGGCGAAAAGCGUGGGUAGCAAACGGGG